GCAAACUGACCAGGGAUCUGUGCUAAGGGACAUUUGUAACUUGGAUGUCACAUGACCCAAUAUUUUGAUAUAAGCAAAUGAACUGAGCAAAUGUGGGUGUGGUGUCAGGCAGUAUUCUCACCGGAUGUCCAUAACUGCACAUCCCAAAAACAAAAUGUUCUCUCGCUUUGUCAAGCAUUAACCACUUAACUGGCUCCGCACUGGAUGCAUUCUCAUUUUAGAAGGCACUCCAAUCCAAGAGAAGAACCUUCCCCCAAAGACAACACAGUCCCAGUCCCAGGGCCUUUACGGAUGUCAAAUUCUGAGUUUGUUAAGGAAAUGCUAUACUGGCUGCCGAGUGAAACAAUAACUGCAUCCCUGCCUCAAGCAAACUCCUUUAAAAAUGUUCUCGCUUAUGGGUUGUGUCAUGUUUCUACUUGACACUUCUUAUUUUGCACUAAUCAUCAGAUAGACUUCUAUGCAACAUGUGAAUAGAAAUUAUUUGUGGCUGAAGCGUUAGAUUCAUUUGAAUACAUGUAGUUGUGUUGGUUCUGUAUGUCUGAAACUAGGCAGAGGGGAUUAAAGAGAGGUUCAGUUUGUUUUAUUGGCUUCUCAAUUAGGAGUGUGCUUGUCCACUGUGUGAUAGCUACCAGCUAUAUUUAGAGAACGUAUCUAUAUUGCAGGCAGACCCUGAACAGUGUUCACAUUCUCAGCUGCCGGAGCACCUUGAGGUCACUAAUAACACGUUGAUGAAAACGGAUGUAGUAUUCUGUCCUUCAUAAAAGUCCUACUGAACCCUCUUAUACAUAGAGAGAAGGCCACGCGAGGAGAGACAUGAACUUAUACUUGGGCUCAAACUAUGUUUCAAAGGGGUAGGAGAAGGUUUGAGCUAUUCCUGCCGCUAAGCAGCCAUUUAUGAAGUUCUGUAGUGGAGUGAACUGGAAUUGGGGCUCCCGCCACAGCUUAUCCAAGUUGACGUAGACUGCAUAGCAACCAAUGGAGAAGGGAAACGCACCUGUAGAAGAAUAGAUCCACAGUUGCUAGCCAUGCCCCAUAGAACAACCUAAAUAAACUCUUGAAAUAAA